AAAAAAACAAUAAAAAAA
rnacentral:sRNA from 1 species